AUUGAACGCUGACAGCGUGGAUGAGGCAUGCAAGUCGCACGAAGAUGUUGCUUCGGUAGCAUCUUAGUGGCGGAAGGGUUAGUAAUACAUGGGUAAUCUGCCUUAAACUCUGGAAUAACAGUUGGAAACGACUGCUAAUGCCGGAUGUGGUGGAGUCGAGGUACUCGACUCCAUUAAAGAAGGGGACUUCGUAAAGAAGCCUUUUGGUUUAAGAGGGGCCCAUGCGAUAUCAGCUUGUUGGUGUGGUAAAGGCGCACCAAGGCUAAGACGUCUAGGCGGGUUGAGAGAUUGGCCGCCAACACUGGGACUGAGACACUGCCCAGACUCCUACGGGAGGCUGCAGUCGAGAAUCAUUCGCAAUGGGCGAAAGCCUGACGAUGCGACGCUGUGUGAGCGAAGAAGGCCUUCGGGUUGUAAAGCUCUUUCGCCAGGGAACAAGAGAUGAUGGUUAAUAACUAUCAAAUUUGAGGGUACCUGGUAAAGAAGCACCGGCUAACUCCGUGCCAGCAGCUGCGGUAAUACGGAGGGUGCAAGCGUUAAUCGGAUUUAUUGGGCGUAAAGAGGGCGCAGGUGGGAAAGUAAGUCAGAUGUGAAAGCCCGGGGCUCAACCCCGGAAUAGCAUCUGAAACUGCUUUUCUAGAGGAUAGGCGGAGAAAACGGAAUUCCACGUGUAGCGGUGAAAUGCGUAGAUAUGUGGAAGAACACCCGUGGCGAAGGCGGUUUUCUAGCUUACUCCUGACACUCAGGCCCGAAAGCAAGGGGAGCGAACAGGAUUAGAUACCCUGGUAGUCCUUGCCGUAAACGAUGCAUACUAGGUGUAGAUGGACUCAACCCCGUCUGUGCCGGAGCUAACGCGUUAAGUAUGCCGCCUGGGGAGUACGCUCGCAAGGGUGAAACUCAAAAGAAUUGACGGGGACCCGCACAAGCAGUGGAGCAUGUGGUUUAAUUCGAUGCAACGCGAAGAACCUUACCCAGGCUUGACAUCUAGUGGACAGCUUAAGAAAUUAAGUUUCCUGUAUAGGUCGCUAGACAGGUGCUGCAUGGCUGUCGUCAGCUCGUGCCGUGAGGUGUUGGGUUAAGUCCCGCAACGAGCGCAACCCUUAUCGUUAGUUGCCAGCACGUAAUGGUGGGAACUCUAACGAGACUGCCUAGGUUAACUAGGAGGAAGGUGAGGAUGACGUCAAGUCCGCAUGGCCCUUAUGCCUGGGGCUACACACGUGCUACAAUGGCCGACACAGAAGGCUGCGAAACCGAGAGGUGAAGCAAAUCCAACAAAGUCGGUCCCAGUUCGGAUUGAAGUCUGCAACUCGACUUCAUGAAGCCGGAAUUGCUAGUAAUGGCGUGUCAGCAACAACGCCGUGAAUACGUUCCCGGGUCUUGUACACACCGCCCGUCACAUCAUGGAAGUUGGUUCCACCCGAAGUCGCCGACUCAACCGCAAGGGGAGAGGCGCCGAAGGUGAGGCUGAUGACUCGGAUG
rnacentral:rRNA from 1 species